rnacentral:rRNA from 1 species
GAUCUAAGGCUAAAUAUCUCCACAGAACCGAUAGCGAACAAGUACCGUGAGGGAAAGUUGAAAAGCACUCUGGAGAGAGAGUCAAAAGACCGUGAAACCGCUCAGAGUAUAAGCCCAUGGCAGCUUGGAAGGCAUAUCGCUAGCGGGGCAUCGCACUUCCUUCACGGGGAGUCGGUGUUACCUUGCUUCUGUUGUGGCUCGUCAUGGUAGGGGGGUCAAGUCCACAUCCCGCCGUCGUGUGGGAAGUUCUUGGGCGUGUCGUUGCUUUGCGGUUGACUUCGGUUGGCCGUAGGGCUCUUCGCGCUUGGGGCUUCUUUAUACACGGACGUUCAGACUCAGAGGCAAGAUGCGAUAAACUGCCCACCACGGCACGUUGUGAGGUCACCCUCAGGCUCAGCUUUCGAUUGUGGUCCUUGACGCCGAGCAAGCAGAAUGCGUGUCGCAGAUGUUCCUAACCUGACAACACUUGUCGGACAGUGGAAUGACACGCGCUCAAAAGUCAGGACCGGGCGAUGACAGAGUUCUGGUUUGAUCCUCUUGCGACGAGCCGGCUUCUGGCCGAGUUCCGAUGCUCAGGUCUCCCGCAUGUGCCGCGGGAGAUCGC